GACGGAGGGUGCAAGCGUUGUUCGGAAUUACUGGGCGUAAAGCGCGUGUAGGCGGCUAGCUAAGUCUGAUGUGAAAGCCCGGGGCUCACCCCCGGAAGUGCAUUGGAAACUGGCGAGCUCGAGUCCCGGAGAGGAGGGUGGAAUUCCUGGUGUAGCGGUGAAAUGCGUAGAUAUCAGGAGGAACACCGGUGGCGAAGGCGGCCCUCUGGACGGUGACUGACGCUGAGACGCGAAAGCGUGGGGAGCAAAC
rnacentral:rRNA from 1 species